rnacentral:lncRNA from 1 species
CCCAGAAGAAGGGCAAGUCAUGUAAUCUACAUCCAAGCAAUAAAGAGGGCAAACUAUGGCCCUUCCAGGACUCAUCCCUAUUGAAAUACUCCCUAAUCAACAGAGGUAAACAGAAAAAAAAAAUCACCAAUAAAUUAGUUAAUUCAACUUUGAGAUUCAACUCUUCUUAAAUUUGUUUAAAUCUUGUUGAAAAAUUCACAGUUUAAUCCCUGAAUUUUAUCACUAACAACAAUUUAAUCUCCAUAUUUUAAAAAAUAAACUAUUUAAUCCUUAAUUUAACCUCGGUCAGGUCCUUCCGUCCCACUACCUACCCCAUUCUUCCACAAAAAUUCUAUGAAAAGUAAGUGUUUUUUGGUUCGUGCACCACUACAAAAGAAAGUUUUUCCCCACUAACUCUUCGACUAUCAUUAAGUCGAAGAACAGCCUAUGCAUACCCUCAACUCUAACUACAACCAAUCAAAUUCACACAUCUGCAGGGUGAAGGAUACAGUUCUUUGUUUGAAGCAAAGCAGCAGAUGCAGAGAGCAUCCAGAUUCUUUUUCUCAAGUAAUAUACUUAUACUCCACUUUCAGGCAAUAUAUAUAUAUAUUUGAUUAUUAAAUAUCCCUCUGGAAAAUAAUUUCUGGGUUUUAUAAGUUUCCAAAUAGGUUAAAAAAUAAAGAUUUAUCUUUACACAGGGCAAGCUGAAGGGAAAGAAUCGAAUAGUUUUGUAAUGAAAGUGGAUAAAAAUAGAAAGAAAAAAAAAAGGAAAGGAUAAGAAAGUAUACCAUAGACAAAGAGAAGAAGCAUGAAAGCAGCUCUGACACGACCCAUUCUUUGCUAAGACUGAGGAUUAUGAAUUGGGAAAGAGUUGAUUUAAGUAGCAAGGAAAAGUGAUGUAUGCCCACUUGCAAUUUAUAUUCUUAAUCUAAUCUAAUAUUUUAGCCUUUGAUUUCAUAAAAAUUUAAUUAAUUAAUUAAUUUAUUUAUUUGAAUUUAAACAAAAAAAAUAUAUAUAUAAUUUUAUUAAAAUUAGGUAAAAAGCAUCUUUUGCCCUAACCUUUUUCUAAAUUGCUAUUUUACCCCUUCAACUUUAAAUUGUUUCAUUUUGCCCCCUAACCUUUUUAAAAAUGUUAUUUAAUAGUCCCUUCGAAGGAUAUAUCUUUACGUGUGAAUUACACUCGCGCCUAUGUAGAUAAAAUUCUUUACGUGUCAGCUCCAGCAAUCCACGUGGGCAAAGAUAGGAAAUGUUGCAAAUAAUGCCAACCCCAAAUUAAAAAUAGAAAUCUGAUGAAUCCCUAAUCUCUAAUUUUAUACUCUCAUUCUAUUAAAAACAGAAACUAUAAAACGAUUCUAAGAAUUUCUCCAAUAAAUUUAUUAGUGCACGAAAGAGUGAAGUUGCAAGAAUGUUCUAUGAUUGAAGUUUCAUCAACAUUGUUAAAUAUUGAGUAAUAUUGUUAGUGUUUAGUUACAUUUCUUAAGUAGGUGAUGUUUAUGUUAUUUGUUGGUAAUGUAAGGGCAUUCAUUGUGAUGUCUUUGUCCUCUCUUCCUUUUUAUUAUUCUCUAAUCUUUUUCAAUAACUUAUAUAUGCAGUCAUUGUGAUCCAACAUAGUUUGAUUAAUUUAUUCUUUGUUUUUUUUUGUUUGAUUUGGUGUGCACAGUAUGUCAACGUUUAUCAUUUGUCUAAGAUGGCAUUAUGGUGGUAAAUUUGUAAAUGGCUCAUACCCUAGUUAUAGAGAUGGACGGGUCUCGAUGGUCUCUCGGGUUGACCCUGAUAAAUUAUCAAUGUUAGGGAUAUUCUCAUUUAUGAAAGACUUAUGGUAUAUAGCUGUUGAAAGUGUGUAUUUUAGAAAGAGGGGCAAUGAGAAGGAAGAUUGUAGGAAAGUUUGGUCAGAUCAAGUAUUGAUAGAGAUUACUCAAGGUCUUAAGUAAGGAGAUCCAAUAGACCUUUAUGUCUCUCAUAGUGUUGAUGUUCAUGUCAUUGCUAAGUAUAAUGUGCCUAUUGAUUUUACUGAGAAUAGUGGGCAUUUUGGUUCUUGUGAUGAACCAAAUAAUAGUGAAGGAGAGGACUUAGAAGCUACUGCUGAUGUUCAAGCUAAUGAUAUUAGUGUAGAGGAUAUUGGUGUUUGAUGAUAUUAGUGUAGAGCAUAUUGGAGUUGAUGAUAAAGACAAAGAAGACAGUGAAAGUGGAGAAUCAACGAGGAUGUUAAUGAUGUUAUGCAUUAGAAGGAAGUGAUGUGGAUAUUGAGCUGCAGGUUGCAAGAGAUAAUCUUAAAAAGUAUAAACAAAGUAAAUCUCAGGGAAGGAAAGAUGAGGAUGCACCUAUUGUUCAACUAGGACUAACUGAAGAUGAUGCUGCUUUUAAUGAAAAUGAUAAGCAAGAUGGUAGAUUUGGUCAGAGAACAGGUGGAACUGAAGAGCAUCUAAAUAGUGAUGAUCCAGAUAGUAGGUUAGUUAAUUCUGAUGAUUAUGAAGGUGAGGAAAAAGAAAUUCAAAGUAAAAAGAGGAAUAAUAAUGUUUACUAUAAUGAAGGUUGUGCAAUUCCUCAAUGGGAGUUUGGUUUGAUUUUUGAUAAUACAAACCAAUUUAGGCAUGCUGUUAGGAAGUAUGGCGUGGCUAAGGGUGUACAAUUAAAUUUGGUUAAAAAUGACAAAGACAGAGUAAGGGUUAGAUGCAAGGAAGGAUGUCCAUGGAUCUUUAUGCCGGCUUUGAGAAAAAAAAUGGAAAUUUUGUGGUGAAGACUUAUAAUUCUUGCCAUAAGUGUUAUAGGUCAAACAAGAAUAAGCUUGUCAAUUUUGAUUACAUUGCAAGGGUAUUUAAAAAGAGUAUAGCAUCUCAACCUGAGAUUAAGCUUAUAGAGAUUCAAAAGUUAUAUAGAGAAGAGCUGAAAGUUCAUGUAUGUAGAACUGUUUGCAGAAGGGCAAAUAUGAAGGUUUUAUUUAAGGUUUUAGGUGAUUAUAAGAUUGAAUAUGGUAAACUGCAUGAUUAUAUUAAUGAAAUAAAGAGGACCAACCCAAGUUCGACCUGCAUUGUUAAUAGUAAGCAGUCUGGUGAUGAAAAAUUGAUUUUCACUGGGUUUUUUUUUUCUGUUUCAAAGCACUUAGAGAUAGAAUGCUUGAAGGAUGCAGAAGAAUUAUAGGAUUAGAUGAUGCAUUCCUUAAAGGUGUAUGCAAGGGUUAGUUGUUGAUUGCAGUACCGAAGGAUGCUAAUAACCAAGUGUAUCCAGGGGCAAUAGUUGGUAUUGAAGAUAAAACUACUUGGAAAUUGUUCAUCAAGCAUUUAAUUAAAGACCUUCAUAUUGGGUUAGGAGAUAGAUGGACCUUUGUAACUGACAUGCAAAAGGUACCAAUCUGUAUUUCAGCUUCAUACAACUUAACUUUUGAUAGCAAUCCAACAAUAACUUAUUUUGCAUGGUUAGGCAUAGGAGGGUCCAACCACAUGAAAAAUCAACAUUCUCUUCCAUUCUCUUCCAUUCUGUAAAUAUAUUUCAAAUUAAAAUCUCAUUUAAUAAUAUUAUUUUUCAAAAGAAAAAUAAUAAAUAUUAAGAAGAUUUCACAUAUUCAAUAUAUUUCACUCAUCCAAUAUUUUCUAUAUCUAAAAAACCUUAUUUUUGGAUUAAGAUUCGUCCAUGAAUGCUUGAGAGCAGAUGUUUCUCCACAAUGAUAAGCUGGAAUCACAACUUCUGUCGCACUAUCUCCCAUUCUUUUAAUUAUUGUGAACAGAAAAAUUUAGAAUUUUCUUCAAAUAUUGAAAUCACAAAAUCAAUUGGAGACACGUGAAUAUGUCAAAGAACCAUUGUUCGUCAUAAAUUUCAAAUUCUAAAUAUCCGUAAGAAAUGAGAAAGAGAGUUAAGAAUUUUGUGUUGACCAAUAAGAGAAAGAAUUAGAAAUAAGAGAUUUUGCAAAAAUAAUUGUUAUAUAUAUAUUUUUUAGUCCAUAUCAUUUAAAUAUUUUUACACUCGGUUUAAAUAGUAUUUAUAUACGCGAUCUGCUAACUGUAUAUUUAAGAACUAUUAAAUAUCAUUUUUAAAGAGAUUAUGAAGUAGAAGGGAAUAAUUUAAAAUUAGAGGAAUAAUAUGGCAAUUUAAAAAAAUUAAGGGGCAAAAGAUUUUUUUUUUUUGGUCUUAAAAUUAAUUUAAAUUAUUUUCUUACUAAAUGAAUAACGUAAAAUAGAAGAAUUCAAUUGCGUCAAUGCUAACUAUCAUCGGUCCAUUUUGUGAAGUCAACUGCAGUAGGCAGUGAUUGUUGACUUCAAUAUACGUGGAAGUUAAAAGACCAGAAGAUCAAUUUUGUUAAAACAGGGAGAUUAAGUAAUAAUUUAUUUUUUUUCUAAACUUAAAUUUUGAAUGUCUCUGUCCUUAUUGGCCAAUUGAACUGAAAAAAUUCAAAAAAAUUGAUUCUAUACCAAUUAUUCAAACUUUUCCUUUUUUAAAUAUUUAAUUGAUCAAAUAUAUAUAUCUCUACAUUCUGAUACAAUCUGAAAUUAAUUUAUUACACAUUUAAAUUAUAAUUAUAAUUUAUUAAACACUUAAAUUUAUUAAAAAAAAUAAUAAUUAAAUACAAAUUGAUAAUAUCAUUAUAAUUUAUCAAAAAAUUUUACAAAAUAGUUCCUUUACUAUAUUUACACUCUAAAUUUUAUUUAUUAUACUCUAAAUGUUUAUAAAAUAAUAGAAUUAUUUUUAUUUAACUUUAUUAAUUUAUAAAAAUUUAAAUUAUAAGUGCGAUUAAUUUUUACACCAUGAAUAGUUUAUUUUUAAUUUUUAUAAAUUCAAGCAUUUAAUAGUAGAAUUUUAUAUUUGAACAUAUUUAAUUAAUCAAUUGACAACAUCAUAUUUAAACUAUGUAUUGAUGAAAUAUUUAACAGAAUAUAUAUUUGAGUAAAAUCAAAUUCUUCUCCAAAUUAAAUUUCCAUUUCAACUAAAAUUUCUUUAAAAUUAAUAAUUAAUCUAAAAUUACAAAAUCAAGCAGUCUAAUAGAAAAGUCCAAAAUGUUGGCCCCCAUCCCAUAAAAGGCAAGAGGUCCAAUAAGAUGACACAGUUAACUGCUUCAACCAUUCGAAGAAUUAUUUUGGUUAACUAUUCAACCACACCAAGACGAAGGCUUAAACAAAAGUAUGCACCAACAUUAACUUUCAACAUGUUUUCUUUUGGAAUUUGGGAGCAUAACUGUUGAGAGUCUUUAAGACAAUGUAUGUAUAGUUUCUGUAAACCACGUAUAUACAGGAAACCCCCCCGAAAUUACUUGUAUAACUACAUCCAAUAAUAGCCAGAGGCCACAGUUCAAUAUCAAAUUUUGCAAGGUUACAAGCUUUGGGAGAUUGAGAAAUACCCCAACUCUCAAUUUAAAUCUCAGCCACGCACGCGUGGAAUGCUGUUUUAUCUGUCGCUUGAAUUGCAGUUCUGGAAAAUGUUUACUGGCAAUAUGAACAGUGAAAGAUGGAAGAGAUUGUCACAAGAUCAUGUGAGUUAGCACCUGGCCUUCUUGCCACUGUUAAGUACUCUCUGCAAAUGGAAAGCUUCGCCUUGAUC